rnacentral:rRNA from 1 species
ACAACGAAGAGUUUGAUCCUGGCUCAGGAUGAACGCUAGCGACAGGCUUAACACAUGCAAGUCGAGGGGCAGCGGGGGUAGCAAUACCCGCCGGCGACCGGCGCACGGGUGAGUAACGCGUAUGCAACUUACCUAUCAGAGGGGGAUAACCCGGCGAAAGUCGGACUAAUACCGCAUGAAGCAGGGGCCCCGCAUGGGGAUAUUUGCUAAAGAUUCAUCGCUGAUAGAUAGGCAUGCGUUCCAUUAGGCAGUUGGCGGGGUAACGGCCCACCAAACCGACGAUGGAUAGGGGUUCUGAGAGGAAGGUCCCCCACAUUGGUACUGAGACACGGACCAAACUCCUACGGGAGGCAGCAGUGAGGAAUAUUGGUCAAUGGGCGUAAGCCUGAACCAGCCAAGUCGCGUGAGGGAUGAAGGUUCUAUGGAUCGUAAACCUCUUUUAUAAGGGAAUAAAGUGCGGGACGUGUCCCGUUUUGUAUGUACCUUAUGAAUAAGGAUCGGCUAACUCCGUGCCAGCAGCCGCGGUAAUACGGAGGAUCCGAGCGUUAUCCGGAUUUAUUGGGUUUAAAGGGUGCGUAGGCGGCCUUUUAAGUCAGCGGUGAAAGUCUGUGGCUCAACCAUAGAAUUGCCGUUGAAACUGGGGGGCUUGAGUAUGUUUGAGGCAGGCGGAAUGCGUGGUGUAGCGGUGAAAUGCUUAGAUAUCACGCAGAACCCCGAUUGCGAAGGCAGCCUGCCAAGCCAUGACUGACGCUGAUGCACGAAAGCGUGGGGAUCAAACAGGAUUAGAUACCCUGGUAGUCCACGCAGUAAACGAUGAUCACUAGCUGUUUGCGAUACACAGUAAGCGGCACAGCGAAAGCGUUAAGUGAUCCACCUGGGGAGUACGCCGGCAACGGUGAAACUCAAAGGAAUUGACGGGGGCCCGCACAAGCGGAGGAACAUGUGGUUUAAUUCGAUGAUACGCGAGGAACCUUACCCGGGUUUGAACGCAUUCGGACCGAGGUGGAAACACCUUUUCUAGCAAUAGCCGUUUGCGAGGUGCUGCAUGGUUGUCGUCAGCUCGUGCCGUGAGGUGUCGGCUUAAGUGCCAUAACGAGCGCAACCCUUGCCACUAGUUACUAACAGGUAAAGCUGAGGACUCUGGUGGGACUGCCAGCGUAAGCUGCGAGGAAGGCGGGGAUGACGUCAAAUCAGCACGGCCCUUACAUCCGGGGCGACACACGUGUUACAAUGGCGUGGACAAAGGGAGGCCACCUGGCGACAGGGAGCGAAUCCCCAAACCACGUCUCAGUUCGGAUCGGAGUCUGCAACCCGACUCCGUGAAGCUGGAUUCGCUAGUAAUCGCGCAUCAGCCAUGGCGCGGUGAAUACGUUCCCGGGCCUUGUACACACCGCCCGUCAAGCCAUGGGAGCCGGGGGUACCUGAAGUCCGUAACCGAAAGGAUCGGCCUAGGGUAAAACUGGUGACUGGGGCUAAGUCGUAACAAGGUAGCCGUACCGGAAGGUGCGGCUGGAACACCUCCUUU